CAUGAAAAAGCUGUUGGAUAAAGUCUGUCAUAAAGCAAGAGUAAUCACAGCUGCAUCCAAGAUCGAUCUUGAGAACCAGGAUUGAUCUUCGAAUUUGUUUGUGAUGAACUAACUUGUACUUUGUGAUUGUGUCAGAUGUCUGAUUUGAGUGCAUGCUUUUCAGUCACGUGUGCAGGUUUAGAAAGGUACAAUCAGUAGUGUUCUUUACAGCUUGUAGCUUUGUACUUGCACUUGCCUCAUUUGAAGAAUGAUAUUGUAUUAUGCCUUUACUGAAGCAUGUCUUUGAUUCUUCAAAUU
rnacentral:lncRNA from 1 species